GCUGCUUUCAUUUUUUGUGAGACCAGGCUUCCAAAGUGUUUUCUUUCCUCCUCUUAGGAAUGUUUUUGUCUUCCCAUUCACAACCUCUUCGCUAGAAGGAUCUGCCACGGUGCUGUUCCUGUGAGCUCCUGUGUUGUGGGGGGAGCACGGAGCUGCAUUAACACGGGACAACCAGGCAAUCCCCUCCCCAUCCUCCUCCAGAGACCCACCGAGGAAAGAUGCCCAAGAGCACCCCGUGGGACCCACAGACCUCCCUCCUGUGCCCCCCCAGCCCACCUGGGAGCACGGAGCCAGCACAGGAGCUGCGCCCUGGCAGGACAGGCAGGGAGCACCGCUGAGAAGAAACACCACCAGACCCACCUCGCUUUCCACCCCCCAUCCCAAAGCACGGCCCCAUACCCCACCCAGGGCUGUGCCAGCACUGCAGGAAGGUGCAGGACCCCGCUGGGUGUCCCGGAGCGGUGCUGGCACGCAGGGGUUAGCCAGGACUGUCCCUCCCUGCACUGCUCUGCAUCCAGCCUGCCGGAAUCUGCUGACAGGAUUGGCACCGGGAAUUCGUGCACUGCACUGUGUUAGGAAAAUAAGGGCAUGAAAUAUAUUUAGUCUCUCAUUUUGGAGCUGUCUCUGACAUCUAAGUUAAAUAAAAUGUUCCUGAGGUCAUUAAAAAUCAGAAAUAGUACAAGAUUUGGGUUUACCAUAGUUUCAGAAUGAAUCAGGUUUCUGAACUUGUUUUAAUCUGUAUAAUUGCUUU